rnacentral:rRNA from 1 species
GUCUGCAACUCGACUCCAUGAAGUCGGAAUCGCUAGUAAUCGGAGAUCAGAAUGCUACGGUGAAUACGUUCCCGGGCCUUGUACACACCGCCCGUCACACCAUGGGAGUGGGUUGCAAAUGAAGUAGGUAGCUUAACCUUCGGGAGGGCGCUUACCACUUUGUGAUGCAUGCCUGGGGUGAAGUCGUAACAAGGUAACCGUAGGGGAACCUGCGGUUGGAUCACCUCCUUA